AGCAUGAAAUCCGUAACCCUUCUUCUCAAAUUUUCUCCAAAAUUCAAAUGAUCAUAACUUCUUCGUUUCUCAAUGAAAUCUAGCGAUUCUUGCGGCCACGGAACGAGGAAACGAUUAUCUACAUUUCUAUGAAUUCAAUUUGUGGUAAUUAUGAGCUUGUUUAGAGGAUAUUGAUGGUGAAUUGGAGCAUGAACCUUUGGCCAAGAGAAAAAUCAUCAAGGGAUAGUAUGAUAUGAUUUGAAGAGUCAAGCUUUCGAAGUUGUAAUUCUCGCAAGUCAUUUGUACAAGAAGUGAAAGAAGGUUUUCAUUCUAGCGGUCCCCAAUAGUCUAGAUGUUUGUCUAUGUAUUUGUCUAGCGCAUUUUUACUCUGAUAUUUUUGUAAAAUGGGGUCACAUGUAUUUUGAUAUAUGAAAAAUGAUUUGAUUUGCGAAAAA